GUGGGCAUAUUGAAUUCCUAUGCGCGAGAAUGGCAAUGAUUUUUGGUGGAUCAAGAUUGAAAUUUUGUCCAGGAAUCCCCAAGGAAUAAUCGUUUUUUCAAAUUUUGAGACUUGCAGUUAACGGUGGUCUCCUUUUCUAUUUUUUCUCUCUCUCUCUCUCUCUCUUUUUCCCCCUUCUUCUAGUAUGGUGAGCUUUGGGUAAUUAUUGAGUUGUAAUUUGGAACUCUAA
rnacentral:misc_RNA from 1 species